CAGAGCUCUUUGAUUGUGGCUAUUUUGGGAAUAUUUUUAAACCUCCUUUUUUGCAUUUCUAAUUUUUUCGCUGUUAAAAGAGAUGGAUAUUACAUUCAGAAAAAGGCAUGUAACUAGCACAAACACUUUAUGAAAGCAUUUAUAAAUCAGUGCUUGCCUAUAUCAAAUGUGGGACUAAGCAAGUAUACUUUUCAGGAACAUUAGAAAGAUAGUCUAACAUAGAACACAUCCAACUAUUUCCCAAUGCUCAUGAAAAGAAUUAUUUCAGAGGAACAAAUACAGCCGAAGAGGUGAAGUUAAGUGAUGUUCGGGACUGGAAAGUUGCUGCCACUACCAGUGCCUGCAAAAGAUUCCCUAAUUUCCAAGGAAGAAAAGCUGAUUAUCUUCGGAGGCAGCCUCAUACAGAAGUGCAGACCCCCACCAGCCUUCCGCUCCAGACUGGAUCAAUGCAGAGAAGUGCUCUUUGAUGGACUUUCAGGCCCUGUGAUCUCCCAGCCCUGGGGGUUUAAAGGAUGAGCAUAUCAAUCCAGGACCACUGAACUGCAUUUCCAUUGCAUGAGGGCUCCUCCUCCUGGCUUUGUCCGGACAAACUCGGCUCCUCCUACUUUUGUCACUAUUCUUUCAUGCUUUGUUUAGCAAACACAAAAAAAGCUUUGUUUGUUGCUGGGUCUUUUUUAAGCUUUGCAUAAAACAGUUUAAAGUGCCGUAAUGCUGUGUACCUGUGAUCACCUUCAGGGUCAAAAUCAGUUUACAACAGAUUAACCUAUUUGUCUUUUUUUUUUUUUUCCUUCUGAGUUUUAAUUUGCACAAAUGCAGACUGGUGUUCUGAUGAGUACAGCCUUCCUACUUUAUUCUGAGUUCUGACUUUGCAAGAAUCCCUAACCCUGUUGUUUUCCCUGGGAACAAUCUCCUAGAAGACAGCACAUGUGUGCCUGCCUUUCUUUAUUGCUGUUGUCCUGCUGUGUUUCAGCAUACUGAGCAAGAAGAAAACAGUCCACAUGUAAUUUGUAGAAGUUUUGGUAACACUGGUGCAAUUAUUUUACUUUCCCUAAUAGCUGGUGUUAAAAAUGUGUGCGCUUAGACUUAAGCUUUACAGCUGAAAUCAAAAUCUAUUACAAUUACAAUGCAAUAGACCCUCUGCUCAUUUCUGGUAUCAUCUACCUGUAAAACACACAAACAAAAAACCCCUGCUGUGUGAUAUAGCCCCUUCUGCCCACUGCGUUGGAGUAGUUUGAAUCUAAGUCCUGAAGUGAGAAAUGCUCAUCGAGUUUUGUGCAUCUCUAGCAGUGAAGAUCAAUGAAAUAAAUCACUCAGUGGUGUAAUGGCUUCUUCA
rnacentral:lncRNA from 1 species